GCUUGCUCCACCGGAAAAAGAAGAGUGGCGAACGGGUGAGUAACACGUGGGUAACCUGCCCAUCAGAAGGGGAUAACACUUGGAAACAGGUGCUAAUACCGUAUAACAAUCGAAACCGCAUGGUUUUGAUUUGAAAGGCGCUUUCGGGUGUCGCUGAUGGAUGGACCCGCGGUGCAUUAGCUAGUUGGUGAGGUAACGGCUCACCAAGGCCACGAUGCAUAGCCGACCUGAGAGGGUGAUCGGCCACAUUGGGACUGAGACACGGUCCAAACUUAUACGGGAGGCAGCAGUAGGGAAUCUUCGGCAAUGGACGAAAGUCUGACCGAGCAACGCCGCGUGAGUGAAGAAGGUUUUCGGAUCGUAAAACUCUGUUGUUAGAGAAGAACAAGGAUGAGAGUAACUGUUCAUCCCUUGACGGUAUCUAACCAGAAAGCCACGGCUAACUACGUGCCAGCAGCCGCGGUAAUACGUAGGUGGCAAGCGUUGUCCGGAUUUAUUGGGCGUAAAGCGAGCGCAGGCGGUUUCUUAAGUCUGAUGUGAAAGCCCCCGGCUCAACCGGGGAGGGUCAUUGGAAACUGGGAGACUUGAGUGCAGAAGAGGAGAGUGGAAUUCCAUGUGUAGCGGUGAAAUGCGUAGAUAUAUGGAGGAACACCAGUGGCGAAGGCGGCUCUCUGGUCUGUAACUGACGCUGAGGCUCGAAAGCGUGGGGAGCAAACAGGAUUAGAUACCCUGGUAGUCCACGCCGUAAACGAUGAGUGCUAAGUGUUGGAGGGUUUCCGCCCUUCAGUGCUGCAGCUAACGCAUUAAGCACUCCGCCUGGGGAGUACGACCGCAAGGUUGAAACUCAAAGGAAUUGACGGGGGCCCGCACAAGCGGUGGAGCAUGUGGUUUAAUUCGAAGCAACGCGAAGAACCUUACCAGGUCUUGACAUCCUUUGACCACUCUAGAGAUAGAGCUUCCCCUUCGGGGGCAAAGUGACAGGUGGUGCAUGGUUGUCGUCAGCUCGUGUCGUGAGAUGUUGGGUUAAGUCCCGCAACGAGCGCAACCCUUAUUGUUAGUUGCCAUCAUUUAGUUGGGCACUCUAGCAAGACUGCCGGUGACAAACCGGAGGAAGGUGGGGAUGACGUCAAAUCAUCAUGCCCCUUAUGACCUGGGCUACACACGUGCUACAAUGGGAAGUACAACGAGUCGCGAAGUCGCGAGGCUAAGCUAAUCUCUUAAAGCUUCUCUCAGUUCGGAUUGUAGGCUGCAACUCGCCUACAUGAAGCCGGAAUCGCUAGUAAUCGCGGAUCAGCACGCCGCGGUGAAUACGUUCCCGGGCCUUGUACACACCGCCCGUCACACCACGAGAGUUUGUAACACCCGAAGUC
rnacentral:rRNA from 1 species